rnacentral:rRNA from 1 species
GAUGAACGCUGGCGGCGUGCCUAAUACAUGCAAGUCGAGCGAACAGAUGAGGAGCUUGCUCCUCUGACGUUAGCGGCGGACGGGUGAGUAACACGUGGAUAACCUACCUAUAAGACUGGGAUAACUUCGGGAAACCGGAGCUAAUACCGGAUAAUAUAUUGAACCGCAUGGUUCAAUAGUGAAAGACGGUUUUGCUGUCACUUAUAGAUGGAUCCGCGCCGCAUUAGCUAGUUGGUAAGGUAACGGCUUACCAAGGCAACGAUGCGUAGCCGACCUUAGAGGGUGAUCGGACACACGGGAAGUGAGACAGGGUCCAGACUCCGGCGGGAGGCAGCAGUAGGGAAUCUUACGCGAGGGGGGAAAGCGUGACGGAGCAAAGCCGCGUGAGUGAUGAAGGAGUUAGGCUGGGAAAACGAUGAAAGUAGGGGAGAAGAAAUGUGUAAGUAACCAGGCAGGUAAUGACGGUACCGAGACAGAAAGCUACGGCUAACUACGUG